rnacentral:lncRNA from 1 species
UAGACAGAAGAUCAAAGUAUAAAAGGACAGCAUGACUUGCCUACAGCCACAUAUGAUUUUUUUGGUAGACCUGGGAAUUAAAACUCACUCAUGCCCAACCAAUUCAUACUGAAGAAGAUGGGCCAUUUAAUGUAAUAUUGACUCCUGGGUCUUUCACUGAUCUUUUUUCACAUCUUUCACUGAUGAAAAAUGGAACAAUAGGCUCCAUUCCCUCUGACGACAAAGGCUGUUCUAGCUGCUGACACAGAUUUCUAAGGUAAACAAUGCAGUAAGACCCGCUUAUUUAAUAGGUCCUGACACAUGUAUCUUAUUCAACACUGAAAAACUAUGUCACUAUUUACUUUCACGAAGGUAAGAGACUUGGUGUUGCUGGAAGGGCUGGUGCUGAUGAAACAAGCCCAGUUGCAAACUGAAUAUUUACAACAGUGCAUUUUAUUUUAUCUUUUGUGAUUCUGUUUAUAUUGCAGAUGCUGCCAAAGAGGAUGCGGUAGACUGCAGUGAAUACAAGAGGUUAGAGAGAGGAAGACCUAUUUAUUGUGAAAAACUCUACCAACCUUUUUGUGGCUCUGAUGGGAAAACAUAUAACAACAAAUGUUCCUUCUGCAAGGCUGUCCUGAGAAGUAGAGGAGCCUUACAUAUGAAGCAAGAAGGUGCAUGCUGAAUGAAUUCUGUGGGACAGAGAAGAAUGCUGAGAACAGCUUUUCACGGCCUUAUCAUGAUCUCUUAAUUUAAUUUCAUUCACCCUGCCUGUCCUAAUGAUGGCAAACAAAGCUCCAAGUAGACUUUUCAACUGUGUGCUGUCAUUUGUGCUGCCCUCUUAUCCAGAGUGCUGGGAUUGACAGUUCUGUCCUCCAGUUCAGGAUUCUCAUGAGCAUUCCUGUUUCUCUAACAAAUUGGUUUUCACAUGAGCACUUCACUGUAUAUUUGUCUGCAUAAUGAAAGUUAAACCUUCUUACAUUGCCACUUGAUUUUAGUGCAGGCAUUGCCUCAGCUCUCCUCGGUGGUGUUUUCUCUCAUUUACCUAGAAACUUCUGCACGCACUUCUUUUCAAAGGCCUCAGCUUUCCUGGGAAGUGUUUGGACUCUUCCAGUUUUGUAGUUAAAUUUUAAAUUCUCAUUUUUCUUUUAACUU